rnacentral:snoRNA from 1 species
AUGUGUCUCUGACAGACCUGGAGCAGUUAAUGUCUGCUGCUAAGUUUCCAUUACAGAUGCAAGAAAAAGAAGGUCCUUGAGCUUUCUGUUUGUCUGGUUGUAACAGCCAAGAUUGAAUGGUGGAAUACAGGA